rnacentral:lncRNA from 1 species
UGUGACGAUGGUCGCAACUGCACAUCCAAUGAGAAGCUUUCUUUCUCUGACAUCAUCAGCGGUACACUCAAGACCGAAUGGCUACAAGCGUGGUGUGGAACGCUGAACAAGAAUGCAGAUUAAUAGAGUUGAUUAACGAAAGGGAAUGUGUGUGGGAUUUUAAUUUAGAUUUUAUUUUCAUCUUUCCAGUCUGUCCAUCUUGUAACUUAUACUCGAACAAGAAGCGUCAGCUCUUACUUCAUUGCUUAACCAAGUCAGCCAUUGCUACAAUAUUAUUGGCUAAAGUGUAGAUUAGCAUGACAGCGGUAACUACAGUGUGACCACGAACAGUCAAGUGCAACAAGUGACUUCUUCCAGUCACGUUCGC